GUCCUUUAGAAAAAAAUUAAAGGUCUAAUCUGCCCAAUGAUAUUUGAAUGGCCGCGGUAAUUUGACCGUGCAAAGGUAGCAUAAUUAUUAGUCUUUUAAUUGAAGGCUUGAAUGAAGGAUUGGAUGAAAAAUAAACUUUAUUAAUAAGAAUUAUUUAAUUUAUUGUUUAAGUAAAAAUUCUUAAAUAUAUAAGUGGGACGAGAAGACCCUAUAGAGUUUUAUAUUUAUUUUUAUUGUGAAGUUUUAGAAUUAAUAUUUUCAUAAUAUAAAUAAAUUUUUUAUUGGGGUGAUAUUAAAAAUUUUUAAACUUUUAAUCAAAAUUUCAUUAAUAUAUGAGCUUUUGAUCCAAAAUAAUUUUUGAUUAUAAGAUUAAAUUACCUUAGGGAUAACAGCGUUAUUAAUUUGAAGAGUUCAAAUCGAUAAAUUAGUUUGCGACCUCGAUGUUGGAUUAAGAAUAAAUUUUGAAGAAGUAUUUAAAAUUGUAGGUCUGUUCGACCUUUAAAAUCUUACGUGAUCUGAG
rnacentral:rRNA from 1 species